UACGUAGGGGGCAAGCGUUGUCCGGAUUUAUUGGGCGUAAAGAGCGUGUAGGCGGCCAGAUAGGUCCGUUGUGAAAACUGGAGGCUUAACCUCCAGCGGUCGAUGGAAACCAUUUGGCUAGAGUCCGGAAGAGGAGAGUGGAAUUCCUGGUGUAGCGGUGAAAUGCGUAGAUAUCAAGAGGAACACCUGAGGUGAAGACGGGUUGCUGGGCUGACACUGACGCUGAUGCGCGAAAGCUAGGGGAGCAAACGGG
rnacentral:rRNA from 1 species